UACGUAGGGGGCAAGCGUUGUCCGGAAUCAUUGGGCGUAAAGAGCGUGUAGGCGGCUCGAUAAGUCUGCUGUGAAAGUCCAGGGCUCAACCUCGAGACGCCGGUGGAAACCAUCAGGCUAGAGUCCGGAAGAGGAGAGUGGAAUUCCUGGUGUAGCGGUGAAAUGCGCAGAUAUCAGGAAGAACACCCGUGGCUAAGGCGGCUCUCUAGUACGGUACUGACGCUGAGACGCGAAAGCGUGGGGAGCGAACAGG
rnacentral:rRNA from 1 species